rnacentral:rRNA from 1 species
GACGAACGCUGGCGGCGUGCCUAAUACAUGCAAGUCGAGCGAACCAAUAAGAAGCUUGCUUUUUGUUGGUUAGCGGCGGACGGGUGAGUAACACGUGGGUAACCUGCCUGUAAGACCGGGAUAACUCCGGGAAACCGGUGCUAAUACCGGAUAGAUUAUCUUUCCGCAUGGAGAGAUAAGGAAAGAUGGCUAUUGCCAUCACUUACAGAUGGGCCCGCGGCGCAUUAGCUAGUUGGUGAGGUAACGGCUCACCAAGGCGACGAUGCGUAGCCGACCUGAGAGGGUGAUCGGCCACACUGGGACUGAGACACGGCCCAGACUCCUACGGGAGGCAGCAGUAGGGAAUCUUCCGCAAUGGACGAAAGUCUGACGGAGCAACGCCGCGUGAGCGAAGAAGGUCUUCGGAUCGUAAAGCUCUGUUGUUAGGGAAGAACAAGUAUCGGAGGAAAUGCCGGUACCUUGACGGUACCUGACGAGAAAGCCACGGCUAACUACGUGC